rnacentral:rRNA from 1 species
CCUACGUGAGGCAGCAGUGAGGAAUAUUGGUCAAUGGGCGCGAGCCUGAACCAGCCAAGUAGCGUGAAGGAUGACUGCCCUACGGGUUGUAAACUUCUUUUAUAAAGGAAUAAAGUGAGGCACGUGUGCCUUUUUGUAUGUACUUUAUGAAUAAGGAUCGGCUAACUCCGUGCCAGCAGCCGCGGUAAUACGGAGGAUCCGAGCGUUAUCCGGAUUUAUUGGGUUUAAAGGGAGCGUAGAUGGGUUGUUAAGUCAGUUGUGAAAGUUUGCGGCUCAACCGUAAAAUUGCAAUUGAUACUGGCAGUCUUGAGUACAGGUGAGGUAGGCGGAAUUCGUGGUGUAGCGGUGAAAUGCUGAGAUAUCACGAAGAACUCCGAUUGCGAAGGCAGCUUACUAAACUGCCACUGACAUUGAUGCUCGAAAGUGUGGGUAUCAAACAGGAUUAGAUACCCCUGUAGUC